rnacentral:rRNA from 1 species
AACCUGGUUGAUCCUGCCAGUAGUCAUAUGCUUGUCUCAAAGAUUAAGCCAUGCAUGUCUGAGUAUAAAUGUUUUGAUUGUGAGGCUGCAAAUGGCUCAUUAAAACAGUUAUAAUUUACAUGUUGGUUGAAGCUGACAUGGAUAACCUCGGUAAUUCUGCAGCUAAUUCAUGCGCACAGCUUGACUAUGAAGACACAGUUGUGGUCAUUAGCUACAAAAUUAACCCAAGCCAUGCUUGGAUUCAUGAUGACUCAUAUUGACACGAUGAAUUACAUGGCAUCUGUUGGUGAUGCAUCAUUUAAGUUUCUGACCUAUCAGCUUUCGAUGGUAGGGUAUUGGCUUACCAUGGCAAUGACGGGUAACGGGGGAUUAGGGUUUGAUUCCGGAGAGGAAGCCUGGGAAACGGCUACCACAUCUAAGGAAGGCAGCAGGCGCGCAAAUUACCCAAUUUUGACACAGGGAGGUAGUGACAAGACAUAACAAUACAAGGCAUCCAUGUUUUGUAAUUGGAAUGGAUUGAAUUUAAAUCAUUCUAUGAGUAUCAAUUGGAGGGCAAGUCUGGUGCCAGCAGCCGCGGUAAUUCCAGCUCCAAAAGCAUAUAUUAAAGUUGUUGCGGUUAAAAAGCUCGUAGUUGGACUUCUGCUUUGGUUGGCUGGUCUGCCCAUUGGGUAAGCAUUUGGCAUUGCUUAAGCAUUUGUUGACAAUAUACUACUGCACUUGACUGUGUGGUGUGGUAUUUAUCGCUUUUACUUUGAGAAAAUCAGAGUGUUCCACGCAGGCGAUUGCCUUGUAUAUGUGAGCAUGGAAUAAUGCAUUAAGGCUUUGGUUUGUUGUUGGUUUAAAUCCAUUGGUGAUGAUAAAUAGGAAUAGUUGGGGGCACUUGUAUUUAAUUGUCAGAGGUGAAAUUCUUGGAUUUGUUAAAGACAAACUACUGCGAAAGCAUUUGCCAAAAAUGUUUUCAUUGAUCAAGAACGAAAGUUAGGGGAUCGAAGACGAUCAGAUACCGUCCUAGUCUUAACCAUAAACUAUGCCGACUAGAGAUUGGAUGUUGUCAUCUACAGGAUGCCUUCAGCACCUUAUGAAAAAUCAAAGUUUUUGGGUUCCGGGGGGAGUAUGGUCGCAAGGCUGAAACUUAAAGGAAUUGACGGAAGGGCACCACCAGGAGUGGAGCCUGCGGCUUAAUUUGACUCAACGCGGGGAAACUUACCAGGCCCGGACAUAAUAAGGAUUGACAGAUUGAUAGCUUUUUCUUGAUUUUAUGGGUGGUGGUGCAUGGCCGUUCUUAGUUGGUGGAGUGAUUUGUCUGGUUAAUUCCGUUAACAAACGAGACCUUAACCUGCUAAAUAGUUACAUGUAACUACGGUUAUGUGGGCAACUUCUUAGAGGGACUUCGUGUGUUUAACAUGAGGAAGUUUGAGGCGAUAACAGGUCUGUGAUGCCCUUAGAUGUUCUGGGCUGCACGCGUGCUACACUGAUGCAUUCAACAAGUGUUUGCCUUUGCCUGGCAUGGUUGGGUAACCUGUAACAUGUAUCGUGAUGGGGAUGGAUUGUUGCAAUUAUUAAUCUUGAACGAGGAAUUCCUAGUAAGCCAGAGUUCAUCAGCUUGGGCUGAUUACGUCCCUGCCCUUUGUACACAYCGCCCGUCGCUCCUACCGAUUGAGUGGUCCGGUGAAUUAUUUGGAUUGCAGCAAUGCUCAGUGUGUGAGCAUUGUUUAACAAGUAUAAUGAACCUUAUCACUUAGAGGAAGGAGAAGUYCGUAACAAGGUUYYUGUAGGUGRACCUGMAGAAGGAUCAAGC